AUCAUGGUUCUUGGUCUGCUGCCUAAACCCUCAGAGUUAGGCAACCUUCGGCACUCCAGAUGUCGUGGACUACAUCUUCCAUGAUGCUUUGCCAGCAUGAUGGUUGUAAGAGCAUUCUGGGGGAUGUAGCCCGCAACAUCCAGAGUGCCAGCGGUUGCCUAGCCCUGUUAGGUCCUGGGUGGCUGUCCAAGGACCCCUUAUGGUUGGUAAAUCCUGCUCUGGUGGACACUGUUACAAAAGAAUUGCUCGUUUCUACUUAGCAGAGCUGAGAUUCCACUCGUCAGUGAAAAUGUUUACCCUAGGUUUCAUAAACGUAACCAAUAUGACCAAGUAACAGAGACUAUCUUGUGUGCACCAUAGCUACUACAUUAAU